GACGGAGGAUGCAAGCGUUAUCCGGAAUGAUUGGGCGUAAAGCGUCCGCAGGUGGCAGUUCAAGUCUGCUGUCAAAGACCGGGGCUUAACUUCGGAAAGGCAGUGGAAACUGAACAGCUAGAGUGCGGUAGGGGCAGAGGGAAUUCCCGGUGUAGCGGUGAAAUGCGUAGAGAUCGUAAGGAAGGCCAGUGGCGAAGGCGAGUCUCUGGACAGUUACUGACGCUGAGGCACGAAGGCCAGGGGAGCAAACGGG
rnacentral:rRNA from 1 species